GGGGAGGGCACCAGGCUCAGAGGUGCCAGCUUCCCAAGGGGUAAGCCAUCUCCUGAUGUCCCGGGGGGUGGGGACCUGUGUGGGGUGGGGCACACUCUUGACACUUUCCGGAAGCACCCUGGGUGUGCCCAGGCAACAAGGCGGGGUGAGGGGGGUCUUGGGAUUAUCAGGGAGGACCGGGAGCCUCCAUGGUGACUGUGGCUAUCUGUCCUGUCCCCUGCCUGGGAGGCAAAGAAGUUUUGCUGGAGAAUGUGGGCAUGUUGCCCUGGAACCCACGUGGCCUCGCAGCUCCCAAUCAACUAACCUUGGAGAGCUGGGGAGGCCCAGGAGAGGAGGCGGCCAGUUUUAUGUUCAGAAGAAUAAGGCUGAACCCUAAGAGGGCCAGGCUCAGGGAGGGAAGGAGGGGGGCAGACAAGAGGUGUACCUAGCAGUUAGCAGGAGCUGCUUCCACACCCAAGCAACCCAGUGGCACCUGUCAUCAGGGGACUGUUCAUUUAGGGAGAGAGAGGACAUGGCUAUGUAUUUCCCUAAUGAGUUUUAAGGGGGACGCUAGCAGUUAACAUCUCCCCUUCUCCUAUCCCGGGUCCCAUUGUGCAAAAGAUCAAGAGAAACACCUUGUCUCUGAGCCAGAGAAUAAAAUAGCAAGUGUUGGGCAGGAACUUGGGGUUAGACGAACAUGUUCAAACCCAACUCCCCUACUUAGCUGUGGGGCUUUGGGCAAGUCACAUACCCACUCUGGGCUUCAUUCUCUUAUCUGUAAAAUGGGGAGAAUAGCAGUACUUCCUUUGCACAAUGCUUACUGGGGGGCCUGGCGCAGGGAGGGCACCAAUAAGGCACACUGAGCUGACAGUGUGCCCCCUCACCCCCGCUCACGCCCGUGCCACUCCCUCUCUGCUCUGGAGGCUUGUGCUCCCCAGGGGGCUGCCCCUUCUUUUCUUCGGGGGCCAUUGUGGAGGGAGAAGGAAAUGGAGGAGAGGAAAGCACGCUGAGGCCCAGCCCCUGAGGCUACAUCGCUGGGCAUGAAUCCCAGGCCAGUGCCGGCCACCUCCCUCCCUGUGACAUGCAAAUGGUUCCCAGGUCCAGGCACAGACCCCCUCUGCCAUGGAGGCCCGGCCCCCUGCUUUGCACCCCUUCUCCAACACCCUGAAGCACCUGCUGGGUGCCAGGCAGGGGAGGUGGGGCCCCUGUCCUUGUGGCACCCAGCCCCAACACUGUCUUGUUGAGCUGCGUAGAUGUGUGUCCCUAUUUGCCUGUGGGGACCGAAACUUCCUGAACACGGCGUGGUAGGACUCCUGGCUCCCAGAGCCAGCCCCUGGAACAUCCCCACACCAGCCCCACGUCCUCACCCCAGCCCCACGUCCCCUCUGUGUCCCUCUUCCUGUGCUUUCCACAAGGCCUGACAGUCUGUGGCUCCAGGUCCCCGGGAGGUCUUGCCAUCCCAGUGCCUUGUUUACCCAUAAACUGGAUUCGGUGAAAUGGCCUGAGUGAGCCUCUGGGCCCCACAACCUCAGGAACCUCUCCUGGGCUGUAGGUCAAUUUCUUAGAAUGCCGUCAUGAAGACAAAGCGGAAGCCAUCAACAAAACUGAAGAGUCAAGGCAGCGAGUAAAUCCAGCCAAUGGCCCAUUUCAAAUACUGGCCCCGGGGUGAAUUGGAUCUCAAAGAAAUGACCUUCAGGGAAUUAGGCUCCCUCCCCUGGGGCCCUCCUCACCCAGGUCAGGCCACGAGGAAAGCUCACAGACCAGACGUGGCCGGCUGUCCCCACAGCCCUGGGGUCCCUGGGGUCCCACUGGAGUCCUAACGCUGGAUUCCCUCAUUCCAGCUGCUGAUCACACUGAUUUCACGGUCGUCAAACAAGCUCAGAGAGGAUUCUGGAGUUUUGCAGAAUGGAAGUGAUACCUGAGAGGGGAGCUGCUGAGAGGAAAGGGCUCCGUGGGCUCACAGUUUCAGAGGUCUCAGGGCCAGACCGAGGGGCCCCUCCACUUCAGGCCUGUGGCAGGGAAGCACAGGGAGACAGGAAGUGUGGUGGGCAGAGGGCAAAGGGAGAAGGAGGAGGGGCCAGCUCCCCCCAACCACCUAAAGACCUCCCGCCAGGCCCCACCUUUUAAAGACCCACCACCUCCAAUAUCACCACCCUGACCAUGCCUGUCACACAUGGCCUGAGGGAGACACUUAACAUCCAACUAUAACAGUUCAUUGUGCCUCACCAUUAGUCCUGAUGGUCCCCACACUCCAGCCAGCUGGUGUCCCUCACCAUCAGUGACUUUUUGGCCUUGCUUUCCCAAGCUCCAUCUGUGAAGGACAGGAGGCUGCAAAGGCCUAGGAACGCCCUAAGCAUCAGACCAGGAGCCCCAGCCCACCUGCCCCCAUGAGUGGUGACAACGCUUCUGCUCCACCUGGUCCCUGGAACUGCUUGGCAGGGGUCAACUGACGCCUCUGCUGCUGUGCUGCCUGACUCCCUUUUCAGAAAACCAACCUCAUCGAGCUCAAGUUCAAGUUCACCACUUCAAACCUGCUGUUCAACGGACCUUAAUAAAUAUGUCACCCAAAUCACCACGAUUGUGUGCUCACAAGGACAGGCUUGGCCUGGACCGCUCAGCUCAGUUCCAAGGACCUCAAACUCGGAACAUCUCGAGUUCCACUCGUCAGACUGGCUCCUCCCUGCCUCGCCUCCCUGGUGGAUGCCCUAUCGCCCCACCAGCACCCAAGCCACGGCACCACCAUCACUCUGAGCUGGGUCCCUGCAGGGGCACGUUGGGGUCUUUCUUUCUGCAUCUUGGCCACCCACCCCAUCUCUAGGUGGCCACCAGAGCUGUCUGAGACCCACAUCUGGUCAGGCUCCACCCUGCUGAAGUUAUCCAGUAGCUCUGCUGAUUCCAGGUAAUGGCCACCCCCCACACACACUGGGGAUCAUUGUGUUGCUGUAGAUGCAAUGAUUAUGGGUGGCCUCUGCCCAAAACCACUUUUGCAGACUCUUGGACAGAAAAGCCAGGACUCAGCAGGGAUUCAGAGGAGCUACCUACCUGCUUCACCCCAUCCCAGUCGGCCUGUGGAGUCUAAUUCUGCGUUGCACAAACUGACCACUGGACGGGCACUGACCUGUCCAAACAGGCCUCUGGGACCAGGACCAGUGCAUUGGGCCCCACUGACCUCAUCCUCACACUGGGUCAAAGGAGCAGGUCUCCUUCCUACUUUGCUGGUUGCACAUAGAGAGAGUGAACAGCAAGCUUGGCACCGCCAAU
rnacentral:lncRNA from 1 species